UUCACAAACCUGCUUAUAAGCUUGCUCAUGAAUUUGAAAACCACUUGAGCUCACGAGCUUUAACGAGUCAAGUUCUGCCGGCUCAAGCCCAAAAAGUGAGUUCGAGCUCAACUCAUUUAAUGAGCCGAGAUACUAAGUCGAGUUUCGAAUAGCUUAUGAAUAAUUUUGUUCCUUUACACCCCUACUUUAUUAUAAACCUAAUCCUUCUAUAUAUGAUAAUAUCAUCUUGUCUUUGAAUGCAUUUAACAACGCUUUAAAGCAUAUCUAGAAGGAUUUGUUGUUGCCAAGGAUCUAUGGACUGAUUAGAGCUGGAUAUUUGUUUUGGUAGUUACAAGAAGGGAAAAAAGAAUGAAAGAAAGAAAGAGAGAGAGAGAGAGAAAUGGAGAAAAAGAGAGGAAGCAAUCAAAUAUUCAAGAAUUUCAAGAAAAAUACUUUUAAAAAAGAAAAAAAUAGAACAAAAAAUCAACAGAAAAAGAAGGAAAUCUGAUUUAAGGAAAUAGAAAGAAGGGCAAAAGAAAUUUGGAUUCCAAAAAAGGCACAGAAAUAAUCAGUAUCCAUUUCCUAUUAAUUCUUCUCUCUAUUGCUAAAACUAAUCCUUCUAUAAGUAAUACGUGACACUUGCAUCUAGCAUUCCUUGAAUAACCUAUAUAGUUGGAAGGUAAUGGACCCAAAAUCAGAUUAUACAACACAAUAUUAUGUUGUCUACGUUCAUAGUUCUACUGUGUCCACUUUUUUGUUCUUAAUAGCACUACAACUACAAGUGUCAUAUAAUAUUGUUUAGGUAACAGGUGAAGCAAUAAUGUCAGUCAGGUUGAUUAAUCAAAUAUGGGAUAUCCACUUUUUCAUCACUCUGAUUUCUGUCAGAAGUAAUACGUGACACUAGCAUCUAGCAUUCCUUGAAUAUAGUUGGAAGGUAAUGGACACAAAAUCAGAUUAUACCACACAAUAUUAUGUAGUCCACGUUCACAGUUCUACUGUGUCCACUUUUUCGUUCUUAAUAGCACUACAACUACAAGUGUCAUAUAAUAUUGUUUAGGUAACAAGUGAAGCAAUAAUGUCAGUCAGGUUGAUUAAUCAAAUAUGGGAUAUCCACUUUUUCAUCACUCUGAUUUCUGUUCCCACAGCAAUAGAAAGCAGUAUCACAUGAUAUUGUUAACAACUAAUGCAAUGAUGUCAAUCAAGUUGAUUAAUGAAUUACGAUGCACUUCUUUUUCACAAAAUGAGUAUUAAAAGAAAAAAAAAAUGCUGCAUUUAAACUGUAAUUUUUGCUGCUCAACCCUAAAUCAUUUGGAAAGCAUGAAA
rnacentral:lncRNA from 1 species